rfam:Eimeria mitis, Houghton, WGS project CBTT01000000 data, contig: Emh_scaff30_1
GGUUCCGUAGCUCAGUAGGUUAGAGCGUGUGGCUGUUAACCACAAGGUCGCAGGUUCGAACCCUGCCGGUACCG